UAAAAAUCUUCAAGUGGGGGAGCAGGAAGUGGGGGUCUACAGGAAGCAGGUCAUUGAAGUCGUAGCUUGAGAGGAAGAUCUCAUCGCUGGGUGUCUCCUCCCCCUCGUUUUGCUUCCAGCUGCUGUGAGUUUGAGUUGGGCCAAGACUCCCAGGAAGACUGGAAGGAACACUCAGUCCAUCUGACCAGGAACCAUGGUCCUGAAGGCAGCCAAAAGGGAGACUGACAGUGGAAUCAGUGUUCUCCUGCAGCAAUGGUAUGAGUGCUCAUCUGCAUGCCAGAAUGGCAGACAAGGACAUCAGAUCCCACUAUAGGUGCUCAUGAGACACCAUGUGGUUGCUGGAAUUGAACUCACGACCUCUGGAAGAGCAGGCAGUGCUCUUAACCACUGGGCCAUCUCUCCAGCCCCUGUGGCAAUACUUCUUUUUUUUUUUUUUUUUGGUUUUUCGAGACAGGGUUUCUCUGUGGCUUUGGAGGCUGUCCUGGAACUCACUUUGUAGACCAGGCUGGCCUCGAACUCACCUGUGGCAACACUUCUGACCCUCAAGUUUAUUCCAUUUCUUUUUAAAUAGGAUUUUAUUCUAGUCCAGGCUGGCCUGAAGUUCACCGCAAUCCUCCUGCUUCAGUCUCCCAAGUGUGUGAGCCUCUUUGCUUGCUGUCUGUACCAGUUCUAAAAAGAAAUCCUCUGGGGCCUCCCCAGUGCUGGGAUUAAAGGCAUGUGCCAGCAACGCCAGGCUUGCUCACAACCAUCUGUAAUAAGAUCUGGUGCCCUCUUCUGGCCUGCAGGGAUACAUGCAGGCAGAAAACUGUACACAUAAUAAUAAAUAAAUCUUAAAAAGAAGAAAGAAAUCUUCUGGAGGCAUGUGAGGUAGCAUCCUGGAACAUACAGAAAUGCAGAAGGAGAGAGUCAACUCUGCCACACACUUAUGUAAUGCAUACAUACACACAAUUAAAGUUAACAAGAAAAAGAAACAUUCCAAAGCCGGGCGUUGGUGGUGCACACCUUUAAUCCCAGCACUCUAUGACUUCGAGGCCAGCCUGGUCUAC